AGAGUCUUCAGCUUUUCCCCCAGGGAGUUCACGUGCUCGCUGAUGUCUGGGCUGUGGUUCUCAGCCAGGGGCAUCACUUCCUUCAGGAAGGAGUGUGCCCGUUGACAAGAUGGAGAAGCUGAGCACCAGGGGAAGGAGAGUGGGACAGGGCCGACACCAGUACUGGUGUUAGAACUCACCUUCUCUAAGAAGCCUUCUCUAAUUAAUUCAGUUCAUUUGUCUUCCUUCACGAGGAUCCCUUGAAGACCGUCAUCCUCUUCCUCUGGAUCCUCCCUCACCCUUUGUCCAGCUCAGGGCUGCAAACUGAGGGAUCUCACUGGCCAGAGCUGCCUUGCCCGUGUUCUCCCUCCCACCUGGCUGGUGUGUCAUCCAACCUGUGGGGGGCCUGUGGAAGCCCUCAUCCCAGCCCACACAUCACCUCUCUGAGCAAAGUGGUUGUGUUCGUGGAUCUAUGCUUCUCCCAGGACUUCAAUCUGUAUGGAAAUGACAAAAGCCAAAGGAA